rnacentral:rRNA from 1 species
UCCCAAGGGUUGGACUAGACUGCUAGUCAGCGCUCUCUAGCUAAUAUGAGAGUGCGGCGCACAGCUCAGUAACACGUGGCUAACCUGCCCUUGGGACGGAGACACCCCCGGGAAACUGGGGCUAAUCCCCGAUAGGAGAAGACACCUGGAAUGGGUCUCCUCCUAAAAGGCGCCCAGACCAUGCUUUUAGGUGCUGCUCAAGGACGGGGCCGCGGCCGAUCAGGUUGUUGGUGAGGCAACGGCUCACCAAGCCUAUAACCGGUACGGGCCGUGAGAGCGGGAGCCCGGAGAUGGGCACUGAGACAAGGGCCCAGGCCCUACGGGGCGCAGCAGUUGCGAAAACUCCGCAAUGCGCGAAAGCGUGACGGGGCUACCCCGAGUGCCGUCCGCUGAGGAUGGCUUUUCCACGGUGUAAGGAGCCGUGGGAAUAAGGAGAGGGCAAGACUGGUGUCAGCCGCCGCGGUAAUACCAGCUCUCCGAGUGGUGGGGAUGAUUAUUGGGCUUAAAGCGUUCGUAGCCGGCCCGGCAAGUCUCCCGUUAAAUCCAGCGAUCUAAUCGUUGGACUGCGGGAGAUACUGUUGGGCUAGGGGGCGGGAGAAGCCGACGGUACUCUCGGGGUAGGGGUGAAAUCCUAUAAUCCCGGGAGGACCACCAGUGGCGAAGGCGGUCGGCUAGAACGCGCUCGACGGUGAGGGACGAAAGCUGGGGGAGCGAACCGGAUUAGAUACCCGGGUAGUCCCAGCAGUAAACGAUGCGGGCUAGGUGUUGGGGCGGCUACGAGCCGCUUCAGUGCCGCACGGAAGCAAUUAAGCCCGCCGCCUGGGGAGUACGGCCGCAAGGCUGAAACUUAAAGGAAUUGGCGGGGGAGCACCACAAGGCGUGAAGCUUGCGGUUUAAUUGGAGUCAACGCCGGG